AACGAACGCUGGCGGCAGGCCUAACACAUGCAAGUCGAACGGGACCUUCGGGUCUAGUGGCGGACGGGUGAGUAACGCGUGGGAACGUGCCCUUUGGUUCGGAAUAGCCCCGGGAAACUGGGAGUAAUACCGGAUAAGCCCUACGGGGGAAAGAUUUAUCGCCAAAGGAUCGGCCCGCGUUGGAUUAGGUAGUUGGAGGGGUAAUGGCCUACCAAGCCGACGAUCCAUAGCUGGUUUGAGAGGAUGAUCAGCCACACUGGGACUGAGACACGGCCCAGACUCCUACGGGAGGCAGCAGUGGGGAAUCUUAGACAAUGGGGGAAACCCUGAUCUAGCCAUGCCGCGUGAUCGAUGAAGGCCUUAGGGUUGUAAAGAUCUUUCAGUGGGGAAGAUAAUGACUGUACCCACAGAAGAAGCCCCGGCUAACUACGUGCCAGCCGCCGCAGUAAUAC
rnacentral:rRNA from 1 species